rnacentral:rRNA from 1 species
ACGGGAGGCAGCAGUAGGGAAUCUUCCGCAAUGGGCGAAAGCCUGACGGAGCAAUGCCGCGUGAGUGAAGAAGGCCUUCGGGUCGUAAAACUCUGUUAUAAGAGAAGAACAAAUUGUAGAGUAACUGCUACAGUCUUGACGGUAUCUUAUCAGAAAGCCACGGCUAACUACGUGCCAGCAGCCGCGGUAAUACGUAGGUGGCAAGCGUUGUCCGGAUUUAUUGGGCGUAAAGGGAGCGCAGGUGGUUUCUUAAGUCUGAUGUGAAACCCCGGCUUACCGUGGAGGGCAUUGGAAACU